CCUCGUGCGCCUGACUAAAGGUCCGCCUGGGACGCGUCAAUUUGGGUGCGCCCGCAAAAAGUAAAGAAGAAGGCGUUCGAACGUAGCUAUUAUGGAGAAUGGUGGUUGCGGCGGUGUCUUUCGUGGUGCCGGUGCAGAUUGACAGCAGCCACCGAGCCCUCUUAGUGAUUUCGGCCAGGGCUCAAGAUUUCUAAUCGUGUGAAGCUCUUCAAACAUGCUUGGAUUAGCUCCGAGGUAUCGAUUGCUGUUCAGACCGGUUGCCCAAGCUGUGGUUUGUUCACCAGAAUCUGUACGCAUCCCCUGUAAAAGAACCUGUUCUUCAGAUUGAUCAAGACAAUGUUACUCGUUUUCAGGAAUCAUAAAUUACUUCCAACUUG